AGUGAACGCUGGCGGUAGGCCUAACACAUGCAAGUCGAACGGCAGCACAGUAAGAGCUUGCUCUUACGGGUGGCGAGUGGCGGACGGGUGAGGAAUACAUCGGAAUCUACUUUUUCGUGGGGGUUAACGUAGGGAAACUUACGCUAAUACCGCAUACGACCUACGGGUGAAAGCAGGGGAUCUUCGGACCUUGCGCGAUUGAAUGAGCCGAUGUCGGAUUAGCUAGUUGGCGGGGUAAAGGCCCACCAAGGCGACGAUCCGUAGCUGGUCUGAGAGGAUGAUCGGCCACACUGGAGCUGAGACACGGUCCAGACUCCUACGGGAGGCAGCAGUGGGGAAUAUGGGACAAUGGGCGCAAGCCUGAUCCAGCCAUACCGCGUGGGUGAAGAAGGCCUUCGGGUUGUAAAGCCCUUUUGUUGGGAAAGAAAAGCAGCAGGUUAAUACCCCGCUGUUCUGACGGUACCCAAAGAAUAAGCACCGGCUAACUUCGUG
rnacentral:rRNA from 1 species